GGGGCUCAGGGCAUCAGGCUCUGGCUGUGUCCACAGAAGCCCCGCAUGCCUGCCCUGCUGGUGGCAUUGGGAUGUCAGGGUUCUGACUCCCCCAAGGGCGGCCGUGGGUCCUUCUCCUGGCCGGCGAUGCCUUCCCUGGUUCUGCUCUGAGUGCUCCCCGCUGCCCUGGGGUCCCAGCUCUCUGCAGGGUGCAGCCUCAGUGCGCUAGCCCCGUCCCAUCCCUUCAGCCAUCCCAGGCCUCAGGACCUGAGUUCUCCGACGCCCACAUGACAUGGCUGAACUUUGUCCGGCGGCCGGACAACGGCGCCUUAAGGAAGCGGUGCGGAAGCAGGGACAAGAAGCCGCGGGAUCUCUUCGGUCCCCCAGGACCUCCAGGUGCAGAAGUGACCGCGGAGAUUCUGCUUCACGAGUUUCAGGAGCUGCUGAAAGGUCAGCCGCCCUGCACUGCCCAGAGUCCAGACGUGCCUGGGCCCUGUGCCGACCCUGCUGGCCUGUGCCCUCCUCCCCACAGAGGCCACGGAGCGUCGGUUCUCAGGGCUUCUGGACCCGCUGCUGCCCCAGGGGCCGGGCCUGCGGCUGGUGGGCGAGGCCUUUCACUGCCGGCUGCAGGGCCCCCGCCGGGUGGACAAGCGGACG
rnacentral:sRNA from 1 species